rnacentral:misc_RNA from 1 species
AAAGAACCCAAUCAUGACUCCAAACUUUUAUUAUGGAACUCCAAUAUACCAUAAAAAUUAAAGGUUAACACGGAAAAUCAAGUAAAACAGCUUCCUUAUGAUGCACUGAGAAGCAGCCCAGAAUUUGAAAUGAUCCUAGAAGAACAUGAUAAACAAGCACAGAAGGCGGUAACUUGACAUUCACAAUGAAUAGAUUCAGAAAGGAUAAUAGCAACAAAUCAAGUUAAGCAAGUUGGUCUUUUGAUCUCCUGAUGAGUUCUAGCAUAGGUUAGGAAGUCAUCAUGGAAACAGUAUUCAAGAGAAGUCACUCGUA